rnacentral:rRNA from 1 species
AUACGGAGGGUGCAAGCGUUAAUCGGAAUUACUGGGCGUAAAGCGCACGUAGGCGGCUUGUUAAGUCAGAUGUGAAAGCCCCGGGCUCAACCUGGGAACUGCAUUUGAUACUGGCAGGCUAGAGUAUGGUAGAGGCAAGUGGAAUUCCGGGUGUAGCGGUGAAAUGCGUAGAUAUCCGGAGGAACGCCAGUGGCGAAGGCGACUUGCUGGACCAAUACUGACGCUGAGGUGCGAAAGCGUGGGGAGCAAACAGGAUUAGAUACCCUAGUAGUCC